CUCCACCCCUGAUGCGGCACCCAUGCGCACACGCAGCCCACGCAACACCAGCAGCCGGCCGGGCCCAGGCGUGUGUGUGCGUGGCAUGGUUGCCAGGAAAUGCUGGCCGACUGUGAGGUCUGUGUAAAUGAAAUGUGUGUGUGUGUGUGUGUGUGUGUGUGUGUGUGUGUGUGUGUGUGUGUGUGUGUGUGUGUGUGUGUGUGUGUGUGUGUGUGUGAAU
rnacentral:lncRNA from 1 species